rnacentral:rRNA from 1 species
UAGGGAAUAUUGGACAAUGGGCGAAAGCCUGAUCCAGCAAUGCCGCGUGAGUGAUGAAGGCCUUAGGGUUGUAAAGCUCUUUUACCCGGGAUGAUAAUGACAGUACCGGGAGAAUAAGCUCCGGCUAACUCCGUGCCAGCAGCCGCGGUAAUACGGAGGGAGCUAGCGUUGUUCGGAAUUACUGGGCGUAAAGCGCACGUAGGCGGCUAUUCAAGUCAGAGGUGAAAGCCCGGGGCUCAACCCCGGAACUGCCUUUGAAACUAGAUAGCUUGAAUCCAGGAGAGGUGAGUGGAAUUCCGAGUGUAGAGGUGAAAUUCGUAGAUAUUCGGAAGAACACCAGUGGCGAAGGCGGCUCACUGGACUGGUAUUGACGCUGAGGUGCGAAAGCGUGGGGAGCAAA